GGUUGCGAUCAUACCAGCACUAAUGCACCGGAUCCCAUCAGAACUCCGCAGUUAAGCGUGCUUGGCGAGAGUAGUACUAGGAUGGGUGACCCCCUGGGAAGUCCUCGUGUUGCAACCCC
rnacentral:rRNA from 1 species